GACGAACGCUGGCGGCGUGCUUAACACAUGCAAGUCGAACGGACAGGCCUGCUUUUCCUUGUGGUUUGCGGGUACUCGAGUGGCGAACGGGUGAGUAACACGUGAGUGUUCUGCCCCCAACUUGGGUAUAAGACUGGGAAACUGGGUCUAAUUCCCGAUAGGACUGCAGGGUGGUGCCUGUGGUGGAAAACGAUUUUUUAGUGGUUGGGGAUGAGCUCGCGGCCUAUCAGCUUGUUGGUGGGGUAAUGGCCUACCAAGGCGGCGACGGGUAGCCGGCCGGGGAGGGGGGACGGCGGCAUUGGGACUGGGAUACGGCCCAGACGCGAACGGGAGGCAGCAGUGGGGACGAAUGCACAGUGGGCGGAAGGCUGAAGCGGCGACGGCGUGUGGGGGAUGACGGCCUUCGGAUUGUAAACUCCUUUGGACCACGAGAAAGCCACGUGGUUGGAAGGGUGGUGACGGUAGUGGUAGAAGAAGCACCGGCUAACUACGUG
rnacentral:rRNA from 1 species